GCAUAUUCAGGAGACAUGUAUCCACUAAAUCAUCAACACCGACAGAGAAAUGUUGGUAAAAAGACAAACAAAAAAAAUUUCUUUAAUGAACCUUGCAAUAAGUACAAAAUUAACCUAAUUGAUGCUUGUAAAUAUUAUUCUGAACAGGGCAUAUCAACUAAUUAAUUAAAACUCACUAAAGCAUGUAUGCUGAUAUGAAGAAGCUCACCUUGAAUUUUCUGGGGUGGAAGUAAUAAGAGCAUGAAUAUAAUGCUAUCUUCUCAUUCUUAAUGCUAUGGAAAAAUUCAUAAAUCUAGAGUAAGCAGAACAAACAGGAAAAGUUGUAAACUUACUAUGUCCCAACAACUCUAUUUGUA
rnacentral:misc_RNA from 1 species